UAGCCAACUGUUUCCAAUCCAACAAUUAUUAUUAUGGAAAUUAUUCCAGAAUUUUCCAUCAGCUAUUCCAUCAGUGGUGGAAGAGACUCGACGAAGGGAAGGAGGAGAAUAAAACACGAGAUUUUCGUCACUGUGCUCGUCUUGUCUAACACUCGACUUCACGCUCGACUUUACACCGGAACAGAACGAUCGCAGCGACGCUGUCUCCGUUUCCUCUCCUGCCCCUCUCCCUCUCCCUCGAUUUCACUGCACACUCAGAGACGAUUUAGCAUCGACGAUUGUUGCGUGUUCUAAAAAGUAACGGCCUCGUGCUUGGACGACGCGGCGUCACGUCGCGAGAAGCGAAAAGUGCGUUCGUCGUAUCCCGUUAUCCAGUGGUGUGCAGACUCGACGCCGAUUCGACAGGGAUCGUAAAAUAUUUUGGGUCAUGCUCGAGGCGCAUUGUCAGCGCUUAUUUUUCGGGGAUUUAAAAGGAUCCGCGA